GGGGCUUGGGGAUGAAGGGUGGGUGCACAAUUGGGGGCUUGGGGUGGGGUGGUGGUUUGACAAUAGGAGGCUUGGGGAUGAAGGGAGGUCUCACAAUAGGUGGUUUGGGGACAGAAGGAGGUUUUGGUAUAUGGGGAGGAUAUACAAUGGGGGGUUUGGGGCCAUGAGGUGGCUUGGGUACAUGGGGUGGAUGAGGAUGAGGUGGCUUUGAUGGUGGCUUGGGAACAUAGGGAGGCUUUACAUGAGGGGGAUGGGGUGGUUUUGAUGGUGGUUUGGGAACAUAGGGAGGCUUUACAUGAGGAGGAAGAGGUGGUUUUGAUGGUGGUUUGGGAACAGAGGGAGGCUUUACAUGAGGGGGAUGAGGUGGGUGUUUAGGUGGUUUAGGGAUGAAGGGUGGCUUUACAUGAGGAGGCUGUUUGGGUGGCAAGUGUGGAGGGUAUGUUGGUGGUGGACAGUAGGAGUUAGCAAGAGAAGUGAGCAAACUACCCAAAUUCACAAUGAGGACUAAGAGCAAAGCCAGGGUAUAAUUCCCCAUGUUCAAAACUCCACAACCCUCAAAAGAGUUGG
rnacentral:lncRNA from 1 species